ACCGCUGGCAAGUUGAUUUUAAUUUCCAUCCACGCCGACUUCUUUUGUUUUGAGGUAUAUAACGAUUGUGAGGACUUUGCGGUCUUGAGCGGGAAGGCUCAAGAAUAUCUACACUCCGUGGCGACGUGGAUUAGGAUUCGCUGCCAGCCCUUUUAGUGAGGUUUCUACAGUCCAGGGACCCUCGUAUCACUACUUUCAGGCUGAUUCUAGUUUUUUUUUGGUUCCGUUUGGCUUCGAGGGCAUCCACAUAUCCACGGUUCGUUCCUGGUGAGGAUGGACCAUGAGUGAAUUACCGAAAAUUCGUACUAAAAAGAUUUCGCGCCUGAGGAGAAUGGUCUACAAGUUGGAAGGAAGGAAGUGAGGGGAAGGUGGAAGGAAGUGAGAAGAAGGAACAACAGCGAAGCAGACCAGCAGCGUGUGGCAUCUUCGAUCUCUCUCUUGACCGCCGAGAUUUUUAGUAUAAUUAUAUGCGGUAAUUUCUUUGUCUCUUCUCCCGCUCUUCGUAAGGGAGUCCCCUCGUGCUGUGGUCGACACGC